rnacentral:rRNA from 1 species
AUGUUCAGUGUGCUUGGAAGCUGUAAUCAAAAAAUUUU